UACGUAGGGUCCGAGCGUUGUCCGGAAUUAUUGGGCGUAAAGAGCUCGUAGGCGGCUUGUCGCGUCGACUGUGAAGGCCCGCGGCUCAACCGCGGGUCUGCAGUCGAUACGGGCAGGCUAGAGUUCGGUAGGGGAGACUGGAAUUCCUGGUGUAGCGGUGAAAUGCGCAGAUAUCGGGAGGAACACCAGUGGCGAAGGCGGCUACCUGGCCCAUUCUUGACGCUGAGGCGCGAAAGCUAGGGGAGCAAACGGG
rnacentral:rRNA from 1 species